rnacentral:sRNA from 1 species
CACUGGAGGCCUCGGCUGGACUAUCUCAGGUACAGGUCAGUGUGGCCACUCACCCUGCUGGCCCUGAAGUCCACGGCCUGUGCCCUGGCCUUUACCCGGACGCCUGGCUUUCAGACCCCCUCAGAAUUCCUGGAGAACCCCAGCCAGAGCUCCCGACUAACAGCUCCAUUCCGGAAACAUGUCAGGCCCAAGAAGCAGCAUGAGAUCCGGAGGCUGGGAGAGUUGGUGAAGAAGCUGAGUGAUUUCACAGGCUGCACCCAGGUUGUAGACGUGGGCUCAGGCCAGGGCCAUCUCUCCCGCUUCAUGGCUCUUGGCCUGGGGUUGAUGGUGAAGAGCAUCGAAGGGGAUCAGAGACUGGUAGAGAGAGCCCAGCGCCUGGACCAGGAGCUUCUGCAGGCUCUGGAGAAAGAGGAGAAGAGGAACCCGCAGGUAGGCCAACCCUUCCUGCUAUCUGGACUGCGGGAGCAGGGGCCGCUUGGCUGGAAUUGAGCACAGAGGCUGGAUUACAUCUUUCAAGUUUCUCAGCUUGAAGUGGUGUGGUCCCCAAUUUCUAUUACC